AUGGGGAGUGUUGGUAACUAUUUGCCUGUCGUUGGUAUGACCCUAGUACAACUGGGUCUUGCUGGUCUGAAUGUGUUGUCAAAGCUCACCAUGGCCUCCGGCAUGAGCCCCUACGUGCUUAUCACCUACCGAAAUCUCGUCGCGGCCGUCUUCCUCGCCCCCUUUGCUUUCUUCUUCGAACGAACUACUUGGGCCUCACUCAGCAAGAAGACAUUGAUACAAAUUUUCUUAUGCUCCAUUGUUGGCGCAACGCUGAACCAGACGUUCUUCUUCCAGGGCCUCAAGUACAGCCGCCCGACAGUGGCGUCCGCGCUGAACAACACGCUCCCGGCUGUGACCUUCGCGCUGGCCGCCGCGCUCAAGAUGGAGCCCGUCGCGGCGCUCGCCGGGAAAGCCAAGGUGGCGGGUACGACGCUCUGCGUGGCUGGUUCCAUGCUAAUGACCUUAUACAGGGGCCCCCUCGUCAGGACCCUGGCCUCCCCAAUCCACUGGCCGUAUGUCAAGCGCACCAUUGCCGCCGAGGCUGCUGCCCACGCCGGCGGGGGCGCCGCCGUCCUCGGGGCGGCUCUGAUCGUCGCUUCCAACGUCGCGUGGGCCAUCUGGUUCAUCAUUCAGAAGAGGAUGUCCAACAGCUUCGCAUCCCCGUACACGACGACGGUGCUGAUGGCAGCAAUGGCCAGCGUCCAAUGCGGCGUCGUCGGCGUGGCCGCCGAGCGGAGGCUAUCGGCAUGGGCACUCGGGUUGGAUAUCAGGCUUGUCGGCUCGCUGUACGCGGGGGUGGUGGCGUCAGGGAUGGUGAUCGCGGUGAUGUCGUGGUGCAUUCAAGUGCGCGGGCCGGUGUUUGUGUCCAUGUUCAGCCCCAUGGUGCUGAUCGUUGUCGCCGUCGUCGGGUGGGGCAUCCUCGGCGAGAAGAUACACGUCGGAAGCAUCAUCGGCCCCGUACUCAUAGUCGUGGGGCUAUACACUGUGCUCUGGGGCAAGAGAAGGGACAUGGUAGCCACUCAAAUCGCACCUGUCGCGGACGCUGAUGAGGAGAUGAGCAUCAAUGCCGGCGGCGAAGUGAACAGUUGGGUCGUCGAUGGCAUGGCGGUCACACCGUCACAUCCCGCUACUGGUCAUCAUGAAAGAAUGGGCCAUGCACAAAUGUAG
rnacentral:rRNA from 1 species